rnacentral:rRNA from 1 species
GAUGAACGCUGGCGGCGUGCUUAACACAUGCAAGUCGAACGAAGCAUUUGCGACAGAUUUCUUCGGAUUGAAGUUGCUUAUGACUGAGUGGCGGACGGGUGAGUAACGCGUGGGUAACCUGCCUCAUACAGGGGGAUAGCAGCUGGAAACGGCUGGUAAUACCGCAUAAGCGCACAGUACCACAUGGUACAGUGUGAAAAACUCCGGUGGUAUGAGAUGGACCCGCGUCUGAUUAGCUAGUUGGUGAGGUGACGGCCCACCAAGGCGACGAUCAGUAGCCGACCUGAGAGGGUGACCGGCCACAUUGGGACUGAGACACGGCCCAGACUCCUACGGGAGGCAGCAGUGGGGAAUAUUGCACAAUGGAGGAAACUCUGAUGCAGCGACGCCGCGUGAGUGAAGAAGUAGUUCGCUAUGUAAAGCUCUAUCAGCAGGGAAGAUAGUGACGGUACCUGACUAAGAAGCUCCGGCUAAAUACGUGCCAGCAGCCGCCGCAG